UUGGCUUUUAUUCAUCAUAAUAUUCAUUUUUCUUUUUUCUUCUUCUUCUUCUUCUUUGACUUUAAUGAGGGCAUUUAAUUAAAACUUUCUACAAUUCGUUUAGUUAUAAUGCUUGAAAAUAUACGUUAAUUUUAUGCGAAUAUCGUCCAAGGAUGGGCUGGACCAAAAAAUUUUAGAAAGCGAGAAGAUGUGGAUCGGAGUCGACAUUAGCAGCUUUUCGUUCUUAAUUCAGGAAGUACUCAAGUAGAUAUAAAAAUGUCUUCAGUGACAGGAUGUGCAGCUAAAAUCCUGUAAGAUUCAAACCAAACAGUGUGACAGGAAACUAUGAUGUAUGAGUAAAAGAACGUAGAGUGUUUCAAGUUUGCGCCAGAGAUCAAGAGAGGUGAACCAUCAGAAUUUCUUUGGUUCCAAACAGGAUGUGCUGAAUGCCAUCGUUUUGAUUGAUCGCUCCAUUACUAUAAGAGUUAGUGAGCAUGCAGUGUGAUACUUGAAUUACAAAUACUUUUCUUUAACUUAGAAAAACUGGUAAGCAAACAUUGACUCUGGUAAAAGUGGUUUCUUAAGUGACUUCAUUAAGUGAUGCUUCUUAUAAGAGAGUUUCGAUGAAUGAUUUAUUAAAUCUCAAGAGCAACGUAAAAUAUAUUGAAUUGAAGCUUAUGAGAAGAAAACUAAAUGGAAAGUGAAAUGUGAUUGGAAGAUUUACAGCUUUCUUGUCACUUUAACUUUACGAUCUCCAUUAAGAAAGCCAAGAAGAAGAAGAAAGAAAAAAUAUAUAAUUAAGUUUCGUGUUUGAACAUUCAUCACUCGUUCCCCCCUUUUUUAAAUGCUGUUUCCUUUUAUGGGGAUUAACGGUGCUUUUAAUUAAUUUAAAAUUUGAACAUUUAUAAAGUAACCAUUACAUAAUUUUUAUAUAGAAAAAUUAUAGUUUUUAAAGAUUGUAACACGUCGAAGAAGAUUGGAAUGCCGUAAACUUGAAAUAGAAAUUUUAACUUAAUUCGAAAUUUUAGAAGAUUCUUCAAUUUUCUUCUCAGAUUUUAAAGGUUGUGUGAGAAUAAAAUGAAGAAAUUUGAAGAGUAAAGGAAAAAAAUUUUAUAAUUCCCAAAAGAAAUUGCAGAAACGAAAAUAAAAAAAAAUAAUAUAUAUUAGUAAAAUAAAAUAAAAUAUCCUCGAGCUAUUUGGAUGCAAUUCAAAUCUUCAAGUAUUUCUAUACACAAAUCAAUACAUAGAUCCUUUAAUUAUACCCAGAGGUGGAAGGACAAUG
rnacentral:lncRNA from 1 species